UAUGUGAUCGUCUCUCGCAUAUCAAUAAGCGGAGGAAAAGAAACUAACAAGGAUUCCCCUAGUAACGGCGAGUGAAGCGGGAAGAGCUCAAAUUUGAAAUCUUAAAGGGUUUCCCUUUACGAAUUGUAGUUUAAAGAAGUGUUUUCUGUUGAGGUUUUGGUAAAAGUUCUUUGGAAUAGGACAUCAUAGAGGGUGAGAAUCCCGUAUUUGACCUUUACUUUCAACUUUGUGAUACACUUUCAAAGAGUCGGAUUGUUUGGGAAUGCAGUCCAAAAUGGGUGGUAAAUUUCAUCUAAAGCUAAAUAUUGGCGAGAGACCGAUAGCGAACAAGUACUGUGAGGGAAAGAUGAAAAGAACUUUGAAAAGAGAGUUAAACAGUACGUGAAAUUGUCAAAAGGGAAGCGUUUGACACCAGUGUUGUUUUUCUGAAAAUCAAUUAAAGAACUGUUUAUGCUAAGUUGUUUAGACUUUAUCAGCUAUCUGUUUAGUUUUGAGCUUUUCUUUAAUGCACUUUUCAGUUAACAAGUCAACAUCAAUUUCUUUUGCUGUAAAAAAGCUUGAGGAAGGUGGCUUGAGAUUCGUCUUAAGUGUUUAUAGCCUCUUGCCUAUGCAGUCGGAGAGAUUGAGGUCUGCAGCGUAGAUCCUUCGAGGCUAAAUGCAUUUGUGCUAAGUUAUAGCAUUUUAUAGACAACUUGUUGACUAUGAUUUGUCUUGUAGCUUACUCGCUUAUGUUAUUUUACCUACGCUUAGGAUGUUGAAGUCAUCGUAUCGCGC
rnacentral:rRNA from 1 species